rnacentral:rRNA from 1 species
GGGGAAUCUUCCGCAAUGGACGAAAGUCUGACGGAGCAACGCCGCGUGUAUGAAGAAGGCCUUCGGGUUGUAAAAUACUGUUGUUAGGGAAGAACGGCAUCUGUGUAAAUAAUGCAGGUGAUUGACGGUACCUAACGAGGAAGCCCCGGCUAACUACGUGCCAGCAGCCGCGGUAAUACGUAGGGGGCAAGCGUUGUCCGGAAUCAUUGGGCGUAAAGGGCGCGUAGGCGGCUAUAUAAGUCUGAUGUGAAAGUGCGGAGCUUAACUCCGUAAAGCAUUGGAAACUGUAUGGCUUGAGGACAGGAGAGGAAAGUGGAAUUCCACGUGUAGCGGUGAAAUGCGUAGAGAUGUGGAGGAACACCAGUGGCGAAGGCGACUUUCUGGACUGUAACUGACGCUGAGGCGCGAAAGCGUGGGGAGCGAACAG